UAAAAUGCGUCGAAGAGGAACAGUAAGAGAGAAGACGGGGUACAGAGAACUGCCGGGCGGUGCGAGGCAGAGUCCAGAAGCUUUCCGAACUCGCCUCGGAGCAGCAUGCUGAAAGAGCGGGCAGGGCAGCGGGAAAACGAAACGCUGUCUGCGGAUAUCCUCAGAUAGGCAUUGCCGGUUUCCGCCGUUAUCGGAAAAUGAGUGCAUACGGGUGAAAGCCCUGUAUGAAAUAGAGUGGUACCGCGUGAGAAUCUAAGUCCCCCACGUCUCUAUA
rnacentral:ncRNA from 1 species